AAGCCAAAGGAAUUUUGCCCCAGAGAAGACAGCUGGAUGCAGUCCCACAUUUCCCGUCUCCUGAAGAUGCCAGAAGCUGUGCACUUGCUCGCAAAGAGCCGAAGCCACGGAGGGGAGAGGUGGACGCUGCAGGUCGUUGGCUUGUCCCUCUGCUGGAUGCAAGGACCUGGAGGUCCUCCCCCAUCCUGGAGAGCUGUAUGGGAAGCCUCGUGCGCUUCUCGUUCCCUCUGCUCUUGGGCAACGCGAAUUCCUUCAAAUGUGAGGCCCGAAGGAAGGCGGUUCUACGUGAUGGGAUGAUGCGGGGCCUCCCUGUCCUCAUCGGUGACUCCAUCACUCAGUCCCAGCUGGGUUUGGCGAAGGGAUGCCCCAUAUUCAGUCGGUGUCAUCCAGACACUCUUACAGCUCCCAGAGAUGAGGCAGAAGCAGCAGCACCGUGCAAGAACCCCAGAGCCUGGAGAGGGUGCAGUCCAUCCCCAUCCAGGCCCAUCCUCACAAACCCAAAGAGCUGCAGAAGGUGGAACCCCCUCCGAGCACACGCAGACCAACAAAAACUCAAAGGCACAAAGCAUUUCUUCAGCGCUGGAGAUUCAAAUCCCCUGCUUUGUUUGGUGCUUUUUCCCCAGCAGCAUUUAACAAGCUGAUGAUGUUUGUUUAUGAAGUGAAAUGCACAUGAUUUAUUUGAUCUGCUGGAGCUGGAGAGCUGCAUUCCCACGCCAGGGACAGGCAGAGACGCUGCUGCCUCCAUCCCCUCAUUGGAAACUGCUCGGAUAAAGCACUGUGCAGUCAGAGGCACUGCGCUGCACUUUCAGCUCCUUCAGAGCAGGACAUUAAAUGCUUAUUAGAGACCUCCCCACUUCCCAGCCAUAAAGCUGCACUUGUUCUUGUCUGUCUCUGCACGUGGAGACGGCCUUAAUGAAGCGUUCCUGCAGCUGACACAGGUUUGGGGAGGAGGUCUUGGGGCACCUGGGCUGUAGUCUGGGUCUGGUUUGAGUGAUGGUGGGGAGGUUCUUCCUCUUGUGCUUUGCUGGUGGAUUGGGUUGAACAUGUCUCACCCGAUUUGCAGGGACGGUGGUUUAAUUAAUUGCUUUGCAAGAAGAUUCUGUAGAGGGGAAGUCUAGUUCUGCCUUUUACAACACCUGGAGAUGUACUUCAUCUCAUCACCCAGACCAGAGCCUGACUGCCAAGGAAGCCACAGAAACCGAUCCAUUAACUGAUGGAAGAAAAAGUGCAGGACGUGAACUAUGAGACUUACAGCUCCCUGGGGAGCACACAUCGAGCAUCACCCAUCCUGCAGGUGGGACACGAGCCAGAUCCUCACCUGGUGUAAGCCAGCAGCACAUGGCCCAGGGCUGGCCACCAGCUGAGGUCCCCUUCCCCCAACUGGGGCUGCAAUUGGGCUGUGCCAGCUGUGAGCAACCUCACCACAAAGCCUUGCCCCAGAGCUUGAGGAUGUGACCCAGCCACUACCAGGGCCUUCCCCCCGUCCCUGCAUACAAAACACUUUGCAAAUGAAGGGUGAAGAUAAUAUGCUUUAUCACAGGCAUUUAUUACUGGUGAUUGUUGAAUAAAUCUCCCUCCAUUCACA
ensembl:lncRNA